CCUACGUGGCUGCAGUGGGGAAUAUUGCACAAUGGGCGCAAGCCUGAUGCAGCCAUGCCGCGUGUGUGAAGAAGGCCUUCGGGUUGUAAAGCACUUUCAGCGGGGAGGAAGGCGUUAAGGUUAAUAACCUUGUCGAUUGACGUUACCCGCAGAAGAAGCACCGGCUAACUCCGUGCCAGCAGCCGCGGUAAUACGGAGGGUGCAAGCGUUAAUCGGAAUUGCUGGGCGUAAAGCGCACGCAGGCGGUCUGUCAAGUCGGAUGUGAAAUCCCCGGGCUCAACCUGGGAACUGCAUUCGAAACUGGCAGGCUAGAGUCUUGUAGAGGGGGGUAGAAUUCCAGGUGUAGCGGUGAAAUGCGUAGAGAUCUGGAGGAAUACCGGUGGCGAAGGCGGCCCCCUGGACAAAGACUGACGCUCAGGUGCGAAAGCGUGGGGAGCAAACAGGAUUAGAUACCCCGGUAGUC
rnacentral:rRNA from 1 species